rnacentral:lncRNA from 10 species
UAGGAAGCUACUGGAGGAUGUACUUCAGCAACAUGAGGGAGAAAGAGCAAGACAUGGAUUUCAAAAAGCAGGAACUUCAACACAUGAGGACAAUGAAGGGAAAUCCAGAUUGACAGCUAUGUAGCAGCCGGGAAAGCAACUAGUCCAACUGGAAGCAAGAGGAAGAACAAUGGCUUCAGGAGGAAUGUCUCAGGCAGGGUAUUUUGAUGGUAUUUUCAGGAAGCUAGCAUUCAGCAGUCUUGGAGUUUCCCCCAGUGUAUGACCAAGACCUGCUCCCUGCAGUGGCUCUCCACAAAGAACAGAGUGUUCCUCAAAGGCCACUUGAAACUCUUCCUCAGAUAUCUCCAUGACAAUAGUAGUGAGAUUUAUAAUUGUUCCACUAUGUCUUUCUUGAGUUGCAACAACCAGCUAUGCACACAACCUUCCAGGUGUGGAUUCACUAUACUUCUAUUAAAAGGUAGGAUUUUAUUUCCCCUGUUUUCUAUUCUAUGCCAGUUAUGUGAAGCAUUUUUAUUGUUUUGGGGGCUCCAAGACAAAUUAGAUUCUCAAGGAAACUCUAUUAUUAUUAAUGUCAUCAGCUAAUGUCUUAGUCUGUUUUAGCUGCUACAACAAAAUCAGAGGCUGGGUGGCUUAUAUACAACAGAAACUUAUUUCCUGCAGUUCUGGAGGCUGGGAAGUCCAAAAUCAAGGUGCUGGCAGAUUCAGUGUCUCUGAAAUGGGCCCAUUUCCUGGUUCAUAAGUGGUGCCUUCUCACUCAUCCUCACAAGGUGGAAAGAGCAAGGCAGCUCUCUGGAGUCUCCUUUAUAAGAGCACUAAUCCCAUUCUUGGGUGAAGAGCACUCAUGAUUUAUUCACCUCCCAAAGGCUCCACUUCCUAAUACUAUCGCCUUUGGGUUAGGAUUUCAACAUACGAUUUGGGGAGGGGGAGGAAAUAUGAACAUUCAGACCAUAGCAGCAUACUAAAAUUUUUCCUGUCUAUAUCCUGUUUCAAGUUAUUAUAAAAAAUAUAAAAGCAGUCUGCUCCCAUAUACAAAGGACCAAGCAAUAAGACCAAAGCAGCUAAAAACAUAAAACUUAAACUAAAAAGAAACUCAGGAACCACUACCCUUAUACUUCCCAACCAAUUAGUUUCAAAUUUGAAUUUGUGACCCUAAUUAUGUAUAUAAAAGAGACAAAAUUGGAAACUAAACAUUGUUUUGGCUUGCCAGGUGCCAAGUGAAUAAUGUUCAAAAAAGGUUUGCCUUGCCUUUUAUUAACUACACCUAGGGGAAAAAAACAAAAACAAAAACAAAAACAAACUGUGCACUGAUUACUAAGAGCUAGUAUGAGUUCUUUGAGAAAGUAUGCUGCUAGGAAGUGACUGAAUAAGAAUUACAUGAAACUAAUCUGAUUUUUAAUUUUCUCACCCUGCCCCACCCCCAGCUAUAUAAUUACUGGCCUGGAAAAGUCAAAAAGGUGCUGUAAACUGAGUGUAUCUAUUUUCGGCCACAGACAAAGAAGAUUGAAUUAACCACACUCCUCCAUUCCUAGCAUAAGCCUUGUGUCUUGUUUAUUGUUGUUUUAUUUAUUUUCUCUCAUCCCCAUACCUCUCUCCCAAUCUCCUCAACCCCAUAGCACCUAUUUUAAUUAUUUGAAUAUAUAUCUUUUGUGUCUGUGUUCUUUCCAAAUGGAUAUUUGUUUGCACAUAAUUAUGCACACACAUGCACACACACAUAUAUAAAACUCUGUAACUUUCAUUACACAGUAUGUCUGUAAGAUUCAUCCAUGUUGCCAUGCAGAUAGCAUACACCUAAUAUAUUACUUUUAGCUGCUGUUAAAGCAGCAUCAGAUAUUUCCCUAAGAUAUUUGGCAAAAUAUCUCAUGUUAUCUUUAAGAAUAAGAUGGAUAGACUGAAACUGUGGCAGCAGAGUACAGGGAAAUUCAAAGUUGGAAAACAAUAUUAAAAGUGUGUUGCUUUGACAGAUAUCCCA